AUUGAACGCUGGCGGCAUGCCUUACACAUGCAAGUCGAACGGCAGCACGGGUGCUUGCACCUGGUGGCGAGUGGCGAACGGGUGAGUAAUACAUCGGAACAUGUCCUGUAGUGGGGGAUAGCCCGGCGAAAGCCGGAUUAAUACCGCAUACGAUCUACGGAUGACAGCGGGGGACCUUCGGGCCUCGCGCUAUAGGGUUGGCCGAUGGCUGAUUAGCUAGUUGGUGGGGUAAAGGCCUACCAAGGCGACGGUCAGUAGCUGGUCUGGGGGGACGACCAGCCACACUGGGACUGAGACACGGCCCAGACGCCUACGGGAGGCAGCAGUGGGGAAUUUUGGACAAUGGGCGAAAGCCUGAUCCAGCAAUGCCGCGUGUGUGAAGAAGGCCUUCGGGUUGUAAAGCACUUUUGUCCGGAAAGAAAUCCUUGGCCCUAAUACGGUCGGGGGAUGACGGUACCGGAAGAAUAAGCACCGGCUAACUACGUG
rnacentral:rRNA from 1 species